rnacentral:rRNA from 1 species
GAUGAACGCUAGCGACAGGCUUAACACAUGCAAGUCGAGGGGUAACAGGGUAGCAAUACCGCUGACGACCGGCGCACGGGUGAGUAACGCGUAUGCAACCUGCCUAUAACUGGGGAAUAGCUCCCUGAAAGGGGAAUUAACACCGCAUAACACUAUUGAUUCGCAUGGAUUGGUAGUUAAAUGUAGCGAUACAGGUUAUAGAUGGGCAUGCGUGACAUUAGCUAGUUGGUGAGGUAACGGCUCACCAAGGCUACGAUGUCUAGGGGUUCUGAGAGGAAGGUCCCCCACACUGGUACUGAGACACGGACCAGACUCCUACGGGAGGCAGCAGUGAGGAAUAUUGGUCAAUGGGCGCAAGCCUGAACCAGCCAUGUCGCGUGCAGGAAGACUGCCCUAUGGGUUGUAAAACUGCUUUUAUAGUAGAAGAAACACAUCUACGUGUAGAUGUCUGCCAGUAUACUAUGAAUAAGCAUCGGCUAA